CAGAUCCUUGCGUCUUCUCUCGAAUUCGUAUCUACUUCUUCUCCGAUUCUUUAGUUUCGAGAUCCUUUGAUUGAUUGUUCUUUUUGUGGUCUUCUACAGAUUCCGUUCCUCCAUCGUUGUUCUUCCUCGCUCUCCCUCUCUCUCUCGGAAUCGCAGAUCUCUUCAGAACUUUCUAGGUUUACCGUCCUGAAAAAUCGCUUUAUCUCGUCGUGAUCGAUCAGUAACGAUUAUCACAGCAAUCGUGCGUAGCAGCUUGAGAUAUACUUAUAUUAGAGGUUGACAUGAGGUGCAACGCCUGCUGGAGGGAACUGCAAGGCCGUGCCAUUUCCACCACAUGUGGUCACUUAUUAUGUACUGAAGAUGCUAGCAAGAUUCUCAGUAAUGAUGGGGCCUGUCCCAUUUGUGAUCAAGUACUCUCCAAGAGUUUAAUGAAACCUGUGGAUACCAAUCCAAAUGAAGAAUGGGUAAAUAUAAGUUGUUGAGUUAAGAAUGGUGAUGGCUGGAAUUUCUCCACAAAUACUGAUGAAGAGUGCAUACCGAAGUGUAAUGUAGUGUAAUGUUUUACAUCUCGCAAAGAGACUUAGAGAUGCAGUACAAGAUGAAUAGAGUUGUUGCGCAGUGUCGUCAGAAAUGUGAGGGCAUGCAAGCAAAUUUUAACGAGAAAAUGGAGCAGGUACAUACAGCAUAUCAGAAGAUGGGAAAGAGGUGUCAGAUGAUGGAGCAAGAGGUAGAAAACUUGACCAAGGAUAAACAAGAGGUUGUAGCUGAAGGAUCAAAUUCAAGUGUUUUGAACCUGAGUGGAUAUAAGCACUAAUGGUCACAACCAGUAAGUGACUCUUUGUUUUUUAUAAGCUUACUGUCUUAGUAAGUAAAAUCUUAGGAGAAAGCUAGUAUUUGAGAAAUUGAAGAACUCUCGUCUCUAUAAAUAGUAAUGAUAAAUCAUAUAUUUUAGUAGAAUCAAUAUAGUGAAACUACUUACAAGGAUGUAAGAUGCGAGCAAAUAUAAAAAGACAUUUUUGUAAAAAGAAAGCCAAAAAAAAACAGUUAUAGGUAA